rnacentral:tRNA from 1 species
GACGGGUAUCUGGCUGGAUGAAGAGCUUGUCUUGAAAACAAGUAGAUCGUUAAUAGCGGUUUGGGGGUUCGAGUCCCUCACCCGUCG